rnacentral:rRNA from 1 species
GGAAAAGAAACCAACAGGGAUUGCCCUAGUAACGGCGAGUGAAGCGGCAACAGCUCAAAUUUGAAAUCUGGCUCUUUUAGGGUCCGAGUUGUAAUUUGCAGAGGGCGCUUUGGCUUUGGCAGCGGUCCAAGUUCCUUGGAACAGGACGUCACAGAGGGUGAGAAUCCCGUACGUGGUCGCUAGCUAUUGCCGUGUAAAGCCCCUUCGACGAGUCGAGUUGUUUGGGAAUGCAGCUCUAAAUGGGAGGUAAAUUUCUUCUAAAGCUAAAUAUUGGCCAGAGACCGAUAGCGCACAAGUAGAGUGAUCGAAAGAUGAAAAGCACUUUGGAAAGAGAGUCAAACAGCACGUGAAAUUGUUGAAAGGGAAGCGCUUGCAGCCAGACUUGCUUGCAGUUGCUCAUCCGGGCUUUUGCCCGGUGCACUCUUCUGUAGGCAGGCCAGCAUCAGUUUGGGCGGUGGGAUAAAGGUCUCUGUCACGUACCUCUCUUCGGGGAGGCCUUAUAGGGGAGACGACAUACCACCAGCCUAGACUGAGGUCCGCGCAUCUGCUAGGAUGCUGGCGUAAUGGCUGUAAGCGGCCCGUCUUGAAACACGGACCAAGGAGUCUAACAUCUAUGCGAGUGUUUGGGUGUCAAGCCCGAGCGCGUAAUGAAAGUGAACGGAGGUGGGAACCCGCAAGGGUGCACCAUCGACCGAUCCUGAAGUUUUCGGAAGGAUUUGAGUAAGAGCAUGGCUGUUGGGACCCGAAAGAUGGUGAACUAUGCUUGAAUAGGGUGAAGCCAGAGGAAACUCUGGUGGAGGCUCGCAGCGGUUCUGACGUGCAAAUC